rnacentral:lncRNA from 1 species
AGCAGGCCUGGAGACAGGGGGCCUGAGUGUGGGGAUGGUGACCACCCCUCUCAACCUGAGAGGCACCCGGGUCCCUGUAUGUGUGUGUGAGAGAGAGAGAGCAUCAUAGUGCCUGCACUGCACAGAGCUGGCAGAAACAGAAACCAGCAGAGGAAUCCUCUGCUCCAAGGUGGCUGAAUUAGUUUCACAAAAGCCAUCGCUUUUGAUGUUGCUGUCCCUGUUAGUCGGGAAGUUCUUUUCUCUGUUGCUCAGGGCCCUGUCAGAGCUGGGGCCGGCAAGUCCCACGCCCGGUGAUCCCCGCGAAGUUUCCGGGUGCUGUCUUUCACACUGUCUUUUGCGGACGUUGAUCCCUUGCCUAGAACACCCUUUCUCACUUCCCCUCGUUCUCUCAGCAAACACUGGCUCGUCCUUGACAUUUUAUUUUGGGCAUCAGUACCCCCGGGAACCCACCCCCGACCACUGUCUCCACACCCCUCCGCCAGUCUUGCUGGGUUAAGCCUGUCCGCACAUCCAUCUCUUUCCCACCUACUCGGAGCUCUUUGCAGGCAGGGGAAGCUUUUAUGUGUGCUGCAGCAGCCUGGCUGACUGUUGGAUGAAAACCGUGGAAGGGGAUGUAUUCAGUGACGUAAAAGGCUUUUCCCCAAGGUGAGUGAUCCACCAAGGCGAGUGAUCCACCAAGGCGAGUGAUCCACCAAGGCGAGUGAUCCACCAAGGUGAGUGAUCCACCAAGGCGAGUGAUCCAAUUUCCCCACUGAGUAGAAAGGAGAGCAGGCAGGGUGGGGACUCAGCACUUCUUAUUGUCCCAGGACAGUUGUUGAAGCUUUAGAGCCUUAGAUUUGAGUGGAAAGA